UACGGGGGGGGCAAGCGUUGUUCGGAAUUACUGGGCGUAAAGGGCUCGUAGGCGGCCAACUAAGUCGAACGUGAAAUCCCCGGGCUCAACCCGGGAACUGCGUCCGAUACUGGAAGGCUUGAAUCCGGGAGAGGGAUGCGGAAUUCCAGGUGUAGCGGUGAAAUGCGUAGAUAUCUGGAGGAACACCGGUGGCGAAGGCGGCAUCCUGGACCGGUAUUGACGCUGAGGCGCGAAAGCCAGGGGAGCAAACGGG
rnacentral:rRNA from 1 species